CCGACUCGGUGGCUCGUGGCCUCCAGCCGCUUUCCCGACGCGACUUCCCCCGCGCCGGGCCGCGGAUGGGGACCAGGAGCCAUCGCUUGUCCCGA
rfam:Tetrasphaera jenkinsii Ben 74 genomic scaffold, 1541_scaffold1